UAAGUUGUUUCAUUAGUCCUGGAGUCAUUGUAGUUAAAUGUAUGUCUUUUUCAGAUUCAUAAAAAGAAAAUCAAGACUUCUUGAGUACCUGGACAAUGUACAUCCAAUGCUCACCUGAGUUUAUAUUUCCAUACCUGAGUGAAUGUUUUUAGCUAAAAUUAAAAAAGAAGCCUGCAGGGCUGUGAAAUGGGAGCUACGUGCCCAAGAGCAGGUAACAGAUAGCCACGUUGCAGAAGAAAGGCUAGCUGGAGUAGUGGGACCAUUAAAGACCAUUUGAAAGGAAAGAGGGUCCUUCACACCUGUGGAAUGAAGGUUUUAGAAAGAAUCAAGAAAAUUAUAAGGAAUCGUGAAGUCAAGUAACUCCCUCGCUGCUGCCUGAAUAGAAAUGCUGCUGCCACUGCCAGGCAGUUGGCUUUGAACUUUGGCCAGACCAGAAAUCAAAGUGGGAUGAGAGUGCACAAGUGCACCCCUGCCCCUCAAAUCCACCCCUGCCUGUGAUACAUACUACCUUGGUCAUGGAAAGAGACUAGAGGAGCUAUGGGGGCAUGUAUCCAGGCAAUGCCAAGUUUUAAGGCGCUGGGAAUAGAUGACCCCAGAAAUUCUUCCAGGCCUAAUGUCCUACAUACCUAUUUCUCAUUGAAGCAGGGAUAAGAUUGGAACUGAGGUACGUAGGUACAAAGAGGGAUCUAGCCUAAGCUGCCCCAUACCUUUUCUUCUGGACAUGUUUCAGUAAGCCUGCAGUGAUCACACUGGGUUCUCCAGAAUGCAGUGGACGAUCCCUUAUGGCAAUUAGGGUCAUCAUUUAUGGGUGUGCUGGCUGCUCUGUAGCUAUACCAGGGUACUAAUCUAAGGCCCAAAGCUCCCAUCCUACCCCGUUCAAAAGCUCAUACUUUCUGCACUUCUCCAUUACUCCGUUUCUCUCUCCCUCUGUCCUUUUGAGGUCUUUUUGCUGUCCUCUGGACCACUAGACACUGACUAUGGCUAGAGAUGGGAGAGUGGCUUGAAUGUGAUGGUGCUCCAUACAGUACUCAGACACCUCUCAGGUUAGAUCUUGCUCUAAGAAUAAGAGA